rnacentral:rRNA from 1 species
CUGCGAAUGGCUCAUUAAAUCAGUUAUCGUUUAUUUGAUAGUACCUUAUUACUUGGAUAACCCUGGUAAUUCUAGAGCUAAUACAUGCUGAAAACCCCAACUUCGGAAGGGGUGUAUUUAUUAGAUAAAAAACCAAUGCCCUUCGGGGCUCUUUGGUGAUUCAUAAUAACUUCUCAGAUCGCAUGGCCUUGCGCCGGCGACGGUUCAUUCAAAUUUCUGCCCUAUCAACUUUCGAUGGUAAGGUAUUGGCUUACCAUGGUUUCAACGGGUAACGGGGAAUUAGGGUUCGAUUCCGGAGAGGGAGCCUGAGAAACGGCUACCACAUCCAAGGAAGGCAGCAGGCGCGCAAAUUACACAAUCACAAUACGUGGAUGUAGUGACAAUAAAUACUGAUACAGGGCUCUUUUGGGUCUUGUAAUUGGAAUGAGUACAAUUUAAACCUCUUAACGAGGAACAAUUGGAGGGCAAGUCUGGUGCCAGCAGCCGCGGUAAUUCCAGCUCCAAUAGCGUAUAUUAAAGUUGUUGCAGUUAAAAAGCUCGUAGUUGAACCUUGGGUCUGGCUGGUAGGUCCGCCUCACCGCGUGCACUUAACCGGCUGGGCCUUUUCUUCUGGAGAACCUCAUGCCCUUCACUGGGUGUGCUGGGGAACCAGGACUUUUACUUUGAAAAAAUUAGAGUGUUCAAAGCAGGCCUUUGCUCGAAUACGUUAGCAUGGAAUAAUAGAAUAGGACGUGCGGUCUUAUUUUGUUGGUUUCUAAGACCGCCGUAAUGAUUAAUAGGGACAGUUAGGGGCAUCAGUAUUCAAUUGUCAGAGGUGAAAUUCUUGGAUUUAUUGAAGACUAACUACUGCGAAAGCAUUUGCCAGAGAUGUUUUCAUUAAUCAGUGAACGAAAGUUAAGGGAUCGAAAACGAUCAGAUACCGUUGUAGUCUUAACCGUAAACUAUGCCGACUAGGGAUCGGGCAGCGUUUCUAUCUUGACCUGCCCGGCACCU